rnacentral:lncRNA from 1 species
UGCAUGGACGAGACGUGAACCAAGUGUGUGCAAUAUAUACAUUGUCCAAUUCCACCUGCCCCAUUGUCCAGAAGCUAAAAUAUCUUAACGUCCCGUGUGUGGUCUGCCGUUUCUUCUUUAUAUUCAAACGGAAUUGGGGUUAAAACGAUAACGGGAUGAGAGCUAGAAAAAAAAGAGAUAAAAGCCAUUUCUAUAAACGAUUAUUUUUUCCUUUUUCAUAUACAUAAAUAUUGAUUUAUCCGUGUUCUGCAAGCUGCGUUGACGUCUCUUAUUAUUAUUAUUUUUUAACUGUCUCUUUUGAUAUAUUCUUUUCUCCCAUAACGCGGUAGUGGGCGCUCUAACUUGGGCUUUUGAAUUCAAUAAUUUUUUUUUUUUAUUUGAUACGUUCAGUUUUUGUCAAUGUCCCCGUUCGAGACAAAAAUAUUGUUUCUCUUUGUAUUUUUUUGUUCAUGCCCUCCCUUCCUUGAAAUUGUCGGAUCGUUUUCUAUAGUGUACAUUGUUCGACCAGUUGAUGAAUCCAUUUAUUAUCUCUCCCCCCAUUCAAUCCAAUGUUGUGUUGUGCGCUCCCCGAAAAAUUGACAACAUUGAUGAAGUGAUGGAUAACGACGUUUUGAAGAAAGGAACAAAAACAUUGACCCAAAUGAAACAAACAAAUGAAAAUCUAACCCAUUCAACUUGUAAUAUCUGCUCCCGAAAGAACGACGCAAAAUUAAACGAGAUAGUCUUGAAUCUUCUUGAAUUCCACCGUCGUCGUGUUCGUUUGUCCUUUUAGAUGGCUUAGCUAAUCGAUAACUCGUUAAGAGGGAACUUGUAGGUAUUCAUUAUUCUAGUCGUGCUGACGGCUGUUAAUUGUUCCGUGCAAGUUUUACCGCACAGGUUUUAGCGGCCGUGAUGUCAGCCCUUUUCCGUAGGCUUACACGGAUGUUUGCCGUUGGUCUGCAUAACGAACGCCACCGUGAUUAAACGAGGGGAUUGAAGAAAAACGUGUCGGAUCCCUGUUCGUUAAUUGGAUUCUUUCAUACACGACCGACAAUAUAUUGGAGGCAGCAGUGAUCUACUACUUUCAACAAUGGCUUGUGCACGAUUGUAUUUGCGGGAUACUAAAUCUUUGGCGUUGUUCGUAUUUCUUUUGCAAAUGUUUAGGUUAAGCUAUACACACGUGAGAGCGUUUCGUUCGUGUCUGGGAUGAAGAGUGGACUAACUGUAGCCGGUGACAGGUCUAGAAAUGAAUCCUCAAGGAACUGAACUCAGUUGAUAUCUUAUGUUUGUUACGUGAUUGGUGACUGAAGGUUUGUGUGUAUUUACCUAUGGCUUUACAGUUAGUUUUGGGACGUUGAUUUAUGGAUGGCUUAGCUACUAGCUUUGAAAUCUUUCUGGGUCAACACAGUACGUCAUUACUUUCCAGUUUCCCAUUAUCAGCGAUCUAGGGCGCCUCCUUAUUCACAGAUGUCGUUGUCGUCAAAAUUGUGCCAAUUUCCGUAGUUCUUCGCCCUCUCACAGACCUGCAGACAACUCUAGACACGAAAAUAACUUUGUUAAUGAGGAAAGGAGUUUCCUUUUAUGUUACCUUAAUUAUGCAAUAGCAGAAAAAAAUUUGUUUGGCAUUUUAGUCAACGAUUUCCAUGUUUUUGAAAAGAAAAAAUAUUCAACAAUAACGAAAAACUUUAUUUGUGUCAACGCAUCGCUGUAAAUGUUCAGAACGGUGUGAGUAGCGUUUGCCGGAGGACGAAAUCGGAUUGCAUAAAUUAACAAAAAAGUUUCUUAAACAUGCAAAUUUUGUUGUUUGACGUUUUCCUUGCUUUCUUGUCCAGAAAAAUAGAGCUAUUUUUUCUUAUUAUGUAUAAUUUUAACAUUUCAUAUAGAAUGAAAUCUGCAACGUUGUGUCUACAGACAGCAUGAACCAGCUGAUUUUGAUUUUGAAACCCUAGUUGAAUAACGUUGUGAUUACACCUACACUUUUGGCAAAAGUUGCUGUUCAUUAUAGUAUGUGGCACCAUUUAUUUAACUGUUUCUUCAGUGCAGCUGAAAACGUUGGUAUAAAAAAAAAAAAACAGUUUGAUCGAUAAUCUGUGAUUUAUUUACGAACGAUAUGGGCCUCGUUGAGUCCAUGUUUACGUACGAUCGAUCACGCAAUCAAUUCAAAGGCAAAACGUUGAUUCUUUUGGCUAUGAAUUCUGUGAAACAAUUCGAAUAAAACCACGACAGAGAGCCACUCCAAGACACUGGAUCGUCCAUUCGUGUGGCAUCAGCUGUUAUUGUUCUCUCGGCGUCUUCGUGCACAAUUUGAAGAACUACUAUUACACGAAUCGAGGCAAUCAGUCACGAAGAAAAGUAGGGCAGACGUCAGUGAAAAGUGAUCGAGAUGGAAAAAGUGGAGCGUUAGGGAGUGCUGAUUGAAGGAGCCCAUGUGAUGGAUUCCGAUCAUCGCUCAUCCCGACGGCUUCUUCGUGUCAAGGCUUGCUGCCGUUUUCGAUAAGAAGAUGGCCGCUUGACCUCCGAUGUUGCCCUUUUUCCCCGCCAUCUGAGACGAGAGUUUCGCUACUUCCCACCCAGGAGUAAAUGUUAAAAAUUCAAGACGAAGUCCAGUUGGAAAUUGCAGCCACCCAAAGGACGACUGGAACUCUCCCCCCUCCCAUGAGCCCAAAAGACGCGAAAUGGGACUGAACAUACCUUUGGAUUCCUUGUGAUGGAACGUCGGGGACGGAUAGACACACGACGGUGAGGAGCCCGGGAAACGUGACGAUGAAGACGACGAGGACGAUCCGGCCACCAAAGAUGAUGAGGUCGUUGUGGAUGUUGUAACUGUCGUGGCGCUUCGGCUGCUGUUACUACCCGACGGGCGGCUGCUAUUGGCACUAGACACAUUCGGUUGCAUAUGAUUUAGCACAUCGACGACGCAAUCAUCGGGAUCGCAAUCACGAAAUCCUUUGGCGAACGGAUUACUGGCUAUCUUCAAUUGGGUGGCGAGAUUAUUACCCGAUGAUUUUGAUAGGCAGUUACGGCUGUGAAUUUAGUCUCUGGGAAAAUGAACGUGCGAAAGUUUUCUGUUUGCGAGGCGUCCUCGGUUCUUUGGUUGAUGUAGACAACGUGGAAACGAGGCUGGUAGCGAUGCAUGGAAUUCAAUAUGAUCUGUAUCGUUGGAAGAUGGUGGAGGCAUGUAAGAAAAACAAAUACAACAACAGGAGAAAGAGAGAGUCGUGUGAUGCACUGGCAUCUUAGCGUGUUGCACGCCAUUUGGAACAAGAGCCCACUAGAGAGUUGAUGGCCAUCUAAUGACUUUGGCAGCUGUACGUAGUUAGGCCUUGCCGAGCUUUUUCUAGAUCCCAAUUCUUUUUCUUUUCUGUGCUGCUUGUGUACACUGUUGACCUUUUGGUAUGACCCUCUCUCUCUCAUCAUCGACUAGAGACAGGCUGUAGCCAUCAGUAGCCAAAACAAGGCAACAUCUCAUCUUCCACUUGAUGAUGAUGAUGAUGAUGAAGAAAAUAGAAAAUGGGAGAACUUACGUGUCCGUUGUCAUCCAGCUGGUUGUUGGUUAACUUGAGUUUGUCGAACGAGACGACUUGUUUGGUCCAUUGAGAACCUUUUGCUGGCGAGUCUGGAUGAACGUGAAUCCUCGGUGGAGAAUUAGGAUCGGAUUUACCAGCCACUACCCAACUGGAACUGCGAUCCAAGCAAAAUUCCCAUUUCUUUUUACUUUAGAUUUUCCCGUUUGAAAAAAAAAAGUGUUUUCACUACCUGUGAAAUGCGUAGCGAUAUCGCUUGUCAUCCACUGGCACAAAGUCCAUCAUGAGCAUGUAAUCCGAAUUGGCGUCUAGUCCGAAUAGGCGCACCUGGAGCGUCGGAAACAUCCGCCUAAAUGGCAACGAUCCCCACCUUUGGUGACAAUCAUUUCGGUGCCCAGUUCAUUGAAUUCAUCCCACAAAGCCUUCAUCUCGAGACUAGCGUUGACUCCCGACAAUUUGGAGUGAAGCGGCUUUUUUGUUUCUUGUUCCAAGUCUGAAAAAAACAAAAAACGGUGGGCCCAAAAACAAUAAGAUUCGUUUCUUUUCAUACUCUUUGCUCUCUCUAGACUUACUCGGACUAGGGCUAGACUGGCCUCUCUGUCUGUUGGAUCGUUCCUCCUUAGUCAAGGUGGACGAAUCGUGGGUGUGAUUCCCGCUACCCAGUGGCGACAAUCCCGACGAUUGUCCGAUAUGAUGUGGAGCUGAAGGUGUAGGAGAAGCCGAAGAUUUGUCGCAACCCUCCUGUUGCAUCAUCACCGGCGGACCGAUCCCUUGUUGAUGCGAUUCUGAUCGGUAAAAUUGAUGUUGCUCUUGGCCGCCGGCUGUGAGUAGACAAGCUGAAUAGACAACGGACAAACAAUCAACAUGUUACAUUGUCGUCUUAUCAAAUGUUUAUGAUGUAUUAGAAGAUUGUUUGUUUAUAUACCUUCCAUGGCUCGCAUGGGCGUACUGAAACUAGCGCUGUGAUGAUGGAGUGAAGCCGGACUGUUCCAAUCGUUCCAGCAAUCAGUUUGCUGUACUUGCUCGUGGCUACGUGUACUUGUCGUCGAAGCCAUUGUGUGUGGCACUGUGGAAUAAAACAAACAAGCACUGCCUGAAAAUCGACGGCCGUCGCACAAAAGCUAAACUAGCUGCACUGUCCCGGCGCCAAAAAAAAACGAAUCCUUGUCACCUGAAAUAUUUUAUAAAAUGUCCAAUUUUAUGUGUGUGUGUGUGUGCGUAAACUGUCACGAUAUGUGGUGAUAGACGUAGUCAAGGAUCAAACGAGAGAUUGGACUGCGCACUGAGCUGGACUAGGCUGGUAUAUCGUUGGUCGACGAAGAUGAAGACCAAGACGAAGACGAGAGAAGACUCAUCAGCGUUGUCUAUUCAACUGAGAAGUGGAUAUCCCCCUCCUUUCACGGAAAGUAAAGUCAAAGAAGGAGGAGCAGGACGAGAAGAAAAAGAGGAUUUUCCCUUUGGGUCGUCUGUCUGGGCAACAGACCGCUUCAUCACCGCCCACGCAGCAGCUGAUCUCUAUGCACUCGUAACACGGCAGCUAAAGCUAUCGCUCCGCCUACUCUACUUUUCCCUCCUCCUCUUCUUUAUUGACUCAUUCCUUUCUGCCUCUUGUCUGAUUGCUUCAUCCAAUUGAAUUCUGUUUAACUCUGAUGAUACGGUUCAUUGACGUGGAAUGUCCGCUUUCAUCGCGUCCAUCGUUUUUAGUUUCACCCAAUCUUCUUCCUCUUUUUUUUUUUGUCUCUCAGCUACACGAAAAAGCCAAACAGUCUUUUCGUUAAUUCAAUCAUUAGCGCUUGAUUAUCACCCUAGUCAGCGCAGGCUGCUGAUAGAGUUGUAUGCGUUUACCGCGUGUUCUUCUCCUUUAGAUGUUCUUCACGCGAGCGAUGAUGUCAUCUUCGAUCAUCGCACGGGAGCAGCACGAGUUGGCAUCGUAAAAUCCAUUUGUUUUCGACAAAUGUGUCAACUAAUACAGUGGCUCUUUGCCGACAUUUCCAAUUGCAUGAAGUUCCCCGAUGACCUCCCCCCCCCCCGGCAGCCUUCGUGACCCGCACCUGGCAUCCAUGAACCUACAGGCCGAACGCAACAAAAUUACUUAACGCUGCGCUUUGCUGUUAAAAUGGGAAAUUAUUCUACCCGCUAACGCCGAUGUACGUGAAUUUACUUCCCAUAAUGCACGCCUGCAACGCUUGUGGAAAGUCUCAGGUAAACACAGCGGCAGGAUACGUCUAUCUUUAGAUUCCAAGAUGCUGGCCAGAAGCUGUCGGGAAUCGUGUAUAGUAAAGGCAGCGCAGCUAUUGCCGAGCCGUGUGUAUACAAGGACCGUUUUAAAAAUAGGGCAGAGAGGGAGAACGGGAGUUAUCUCCUGCGCUGCCGCCGCCAUGUCGGAAGAGGGGACGUGAAGUUUUAUACGAUUCGAUGAUGUACAAAUGACUUUCAGACUUGGCAUACUUCACAAUCCCGGUUCUAAUGAGGAACUGUAGCUGUCCCGCGGGCUCUAGAUUUGUGGCUGAAACUCUUGUAGGAGCUGCACGGCAAUACGGUGUGGAUAUGAACGCUCCUCAGCAUCUCCUGCGCAUCCGGAGGGGGGCUAAAAUAUCUACUACCACUACUAUGCCACUAUUAUUGGAAAAUAACAUGAAGCAACAACUGGACUGAUUUAGUGAGACAACUCGGUUCACUGUCUCACAAAUGAAACGCCAUUCAAGUUUGGCACGUCAAGAGGUAGCAGUUUAGAAUCCCUUCUUCCUCGAAAGAGUCCAAUAUGUUCAUCCACACCUCCGUCGUUUUUAAUAAAUCGGCUCUGCGUGUUCAAGUUGCUUUCGUUGGAUGACGAAAGCGAAAUCCCUUCGCCCAUACUAUUACAGGUAAAGCGGUCGUUGGUUUGUUACAUCCGGUUUACUUGACUGAUGGUGGAUUCCUUGACCAGACGAAAGCUUUACAUCACGACUUACUAAACGGAGUCUCCCUUUUAUUGCACUCGUCAUGACCGUAGUAUAAACACUAGUGUCUGUCAGUUCUUCUUUAGCGCGUCAUCAACGCCAUACGAAAUCCAGAAGCAUUGACCUCUAUAAACACAUUGAAAGAGAUCGAACUCUCUGACCCUACGUCUCAUAUGUGGCAAAUGUUCUGAUAUAAUAAGACAAUGUUUAAAACUACCAGCAAAACGAGUUAAAAAAAAAGUGUUCAAUGUGUGGAAACAGAGGUUGAGUCGUGUCGCUGUCUUUACAAAAAUAAAACUAUUACUGAGUAA